rnacentral:tRNA from 1 species
ACCUGGCUGGCUCACUCAGUAGAGCAUAUAACUUCUGAUCUUGAGGUUGUGAGUUCAAGCCCCAUGUUGGGUG